rnacentral:rRNA from 1 species
UAAUACGGAGGAUGCAAGCGUUAUCCGGAUUUAUUGGGUUUAAAGGGUGCGUAGGCUGUUAGAUAAGUCAGCGGUGAAAUGCCAGUGCUCAACACUGGAGCUGCCGUUGAUACUGUCUAGCUGGAAUAUGGUUGCUGUUGGCGGAAUGUGUAGUGUAGCGGUGAAAUGCAUAGAUAUUACACAGAACACCGAUUGCGAAGGCAGCUGACAAAACCAUCAUUGACGCUGAUGCACGAAAGUGUGGGGAUCAAACAGG